UACGUAGGGGGCAAGCGUUGUCCGGAUUUAUUGGGCGUAAAGAGCGUGUAGGCGGCUUCACAGGUCCGCUGUGAAAACUCGAGGCUCAACCUCGAGCUGUCGGUGGAAACCGUGUGGCUAGAGUCCGGAAGAGGAGAGUGGAAUUCCCGGUGUAGCGGUGAAAUGCGCAGAUAUCGGGAAGAACACCCGUGGCGAAGGCGGCCCCCUGGGUCGGCCCUGACGCUGAGGCGCGAAAGCGUGGGUAGCAAACAGG
rnacentral:rRNA from 1 species